rnacentral:sRNA from 13 species
GUGUUAUGCGUCUUUUGAAGUUGGAGGUGAGAGAGUGAGAGACGCAGAGAAGCAGGCAGUCGUUUUCUUAGCCGUCUCUCGUUCUCUCACCUUCAAAUUCAAAGACGCGUAACUC